rnacentral:rRNA from 1 species
UAAUCUGCGAUAAGCGUCGGUAAGGUGAUAUGAACCGUUAUAACCGGCGAUUUCCGAAUGGGGAAACCCAGUGUGAUUCGUCACACUAUCAUUAACUGAAUCCAUAGGUUAAUGAGGCGAACCGGGGGAACUGAAACAUCUAAGUACCCCGAGGAAAAGAAAUCAACCGAGAUUCCCCCAGUAGCGGCGAGCGAACGGGGAGCAGCCCAGAGCCUGAAUCAGUGUGUGUGUUAGUGGAAGCGUCUGGAAAGGCGCGUGAUACAGGGUGACAGCCCCGUACACAAAAAUGCACAUGCUGUGAGCUCGAUGAGUAGGGCGGGACACGUGGUAUCCUGUCUGAAUAUGGGGGGACCAUCCUCCAAGGCUAAAUACUCCUGACUGACCGAUAGUGAACCAGUACCGUGAGGGAAAGGCGAAAAGAACCCCGGCGAGGGGAGUGAAAAAGAACCUGAAACCGUGUACGUACAAGCAGUGGGAGCACGCUUAGGCGUGUGACUGCGUACCUUUUGUAUAAUGGGUCAGCGACUUAUAUUCUGUAGCAAGGUUAACCGAAUAGGGGAGCCGAAGGGAAACCGAGUCUUAACUGGGCGUUAAGUUGCAGGGUAUAGACCCGAAACCCGGUGAUCUAGCCAUGGGCAGGUUGAAGGUUGGGUAACACUAACUGGAGGACCGAACCGACUAAUGUUGAAAAAUUAGCGGAUGACUUGUGGCUGGGGGUGAAAGGCCAAUCAAACCGGGAGAUAGCUGGUUCUCCCCGAAAGCUAUUUAGGUAGCGCCUCGUGAAUUCAUCUCCGGGGGUAGAGCACUGUUUCGGCAAGGGGGUCAUCCCGACUUACCAACCCGAUGCAAACUGCGAAUACCGGAGAAUGUUAUCACGGGAGACACACGGCGGGUGCUAACGUCCGUCGUGAAGAGGGAAACAACCCAGACCGCCAGCUAAGGUCCCAAAGUCAUGGUUAAGUGGGAAACGAUGUGGGAAGGCCCAGACAGCCAGGAUGUUGGCUUAGAAGCAGCCAUCAUUUAAAGAAAGCGUAAUAGCUCACUGGUCGAGUCGGCCUGCGCGGAAGAUGUAACGGGGCUAAACCAUGCACCGAAGCUGCGGCAGCGACGCUUAUGCGUUGUUGGGUAGGGGAGCGUUCUGUAAGCCUGUGAAGGUGUACUGUGAGGUAUGCUGGAGGUAUCAGAAGUGCGAAUGCUGACAUAAGUAACGAUAAAGCGGGUGAAAAGCCCGCUCGCCGGAAGACCAAGGGUUCCUGUCCAACGUUAAUCGGGGCAGGGUGAGUCGACCCCUAAGGCGAGGCCGAAAGGCGUAGUCGAUGGGAAACAGGUUAAUAUUCCUGUACUUGGUGUUACUGCGAAGGGGGGACGGAGAAGGCUAUGUUGGCCGGGCGACGGUUGUCCCGGUUUAAGCGUGUAGGCUGGUUUUCCAGGCAAAUCCGGAAAAUCAAGGCUGAGGCGUGAUGACGAGGCACUACGGUGCUGAAGCAACAAAUGCCCUGCUUCCAGGAAAAGCCUCUAAGCAUCAGGUAACAUCAAAUCGUACCCCAAACCGACACAGGUGGUCAGGUAGAGAAUACCAAGGCGCUUGAGAGAACUCGGGUGAAGGAACUAGGCAAAAUGGUGCCGUAACUUCGGGAGAAGGCACGCUGAUAUGUAGGUGAAGUCCCUCGCGGAUGGAGCUGAAAUCAGUCGAAGAUACCAGCUGGCUGCAACUGUUUAUUAAAAACACAGCACUGUGCAAACACGAAAGUGGACGUAUACGGUGUGACGCCUGCCCGGUGC